rnacentral:rRNA from 1 species
CCUACGGGAGGCAGCAGUGAGGAAUAUUGGUCAAUGGGCUUACGCCUGAACCAGCCAAGUCGCGUGAGGGAAGACUGCCCUAUGGGUUGUAAACCUCUUUUGUCAGGGAGCAACGCCGGCUACGUGUAGCCGGACUGAGAGUACCUGAAGAAAAAGCAUCGGCUAACUCCGUGCCAGCAGCCGCGGUAAUACGGAGGAUGCGAGCGUUAUCCGGAUUUAUUGGGUUUAAAGGGGGCGUAGGCGGAAUGCCAAGUCAGCGGUAAAAGCGCGGGGCUCAACCUCGCUCCGCCGUUGAAACUGGCGUUCUUGAGUGGGAGAGAAGUAUGCGGAAUGCGUGGUGUAGCGGUGAAAUGCAUAGAGAUCACGCAGAACUCCGAUUGCGAAGGCAGCAUACCGGCGCCCAACUGACGCUGAAGCACGAAAGCGUGGGUAUCGAACAGGAUUAGAUACCCUUGUAGUC